AGGUAUAACUACCUUGCUGAUGCUGUACAUAUGGCUUGCUUGUGCCCACAGCCCACUUGCACCCAGAGAGACAAUAAAGCCAUGUUGAAAUUCCUUGCAAUUCUUCGAAUGUUCUUUCAGCUGCCUGCCACUUGUCCACCCACUCCCCUCAGACCUCAGUUAGAACCUGACAAUUGGCACUAUGAGCAGAAUCCCAAGAUUUAGAAGUGGCAACACUCCUCUUUCCUGGGAUUGGAAUGGUGCAGCUGAGACCACUUUCCUGGCAGCCAAGCAGGCACAAGCCCUAUAGGUUAACAUGCUCUAACUGCAUUGUGGACUGGGCCCACACCUAUGCUGAGGUGACCAAUGUUUCCAACUGUUGGAACCAUACCACCUUUCCAGCAGCAGCUGCAGAUGGCUUGCCGUGGCACAUACAUUCCAUGUCUGCAGAGAAAUGGACAUGGCUGGAGACUUGUGGUCCCAUGGCCGAAGCCUGGAAUACAACACAGCAAGCUUUGGACAAAGGAUGCUACAAGACCCAUGGUGCACCUGCCCCCUGGCUGGCCUGUAGCAUUUAUGACGGGUGGGCUGGCUAGUUGGGGAUUAUGUAGUACCCCCAGCCCAGGUGCCACAGUACAUACAGCAACACUGGGGCAACACCACUGUGGGAUAGGUACCUGUCACAAUCAGAUCAGAAAGAUAGUGUUGCAAAACUGAAUGGCUUUAGACAUAGUAACUGCUGCCCAAGGAGGCGUCUGUGCCCUUUUAGGAAAACAAUGUUGUACCUUUAUCCCUGACAGUUGGCAGAACAUAACAGCAGCCCUGCAAGGGGUCUCGCAGGAGAUUAAGGUGGUUAAGAGCAUUACUGACAACCCCCUGUAGAGAUGGUGGGCAUCUCUGGGCUCUGGACUAUGCUGGGCCCUCAUAGUCAUAAGUAGCAUAGCUGAGAUCCUAGUAGUGAGCUGUUAUUCUUUGUAUUGUGGGUUAUAGAUUCAGGGCUCUGCCCUAUGGGUAGGUGUCCCUGCCCCAGAGGAUGCCCUUAGCCUAGGGAGUAGAGUGUAAGGGAAAUGGCUGUGCUUUAGAAAUAGGCAGAGGUGACCUCUGGUACAGUAUGACUCAGCAGGUUUGGAGUGCAGGGACACAGCUCCACACAUGACGCAACCAUGCCACAUGAGGUGUAUUAAGUAACCACUCAGGUGUGCUUGUGCUUGGCUUGGAGCCACUAUUGUCUGUAAAAGGUAUAACUACCCUGCUGAUGCUGUACAUAUACCUUGCUUGAACCCACAGCCCACUUGUGCCCAGAGAGAGAAUAAAGCCACGUCAAAACUCCCUGCAAUUCUUCAAGUGUUCUUUCAGCUGCCUGCCG
rnacentral:lncRNA from 10 species